AUUAGCACGUAACAAAUGUGUACACGUCCCGUUAGAAAGUCCCCAAGAGAGAAGGAGGAACAGGACCAGACAGAUUAGAAGUACGAUCUGUGGAGGACUAAUAGCAGCUCAAACGUAAACCAGCCGGUUCUACGGAGCCAAACAGGUGUCUGCUCGUGUUUUCAGCUGGGACACACACAAACCUGAGUGCCAUUUGGUGCUUUGCGGAGGUGAUUCUGUGCAGCCAGGCCAGCAGGAGCAGCAGAGCACGUUUUCAUCCGAAACAAGCCGAGCAGAGUGUUUCAAAAACUCAACAUCAGGCCACAACGACCAUCAAGUCCUCGUGGUGCUGUCGCUGUAAUCCAAUCAUGUCAUGGCAAAUGAUUUUCAAGAGACAACAUUGGUGAACAAAGAGUGUGCUGAUCGGAGCUGAGUGUUUGUGGCUGUGAAACGAGCGCACCGAGGACUGAAUGCUCAAAGACUCAAAGAAAGAGGCGCCGCAUGAGGGCGCUUAAGUUGUUAUGUCCUAAUAUACAGAACAGCACAAUAAAACAAGGAUAUAAUCACUGGCAGUCUUUUGAGACACGAUAUAAAGAACAUGAUUUUUGAGUGGGUAUAAGAAUCAGAGCCUGGUCCUUGACUUCCUUGUGCGUUGUGCUUGGCUCUCACAUUACUCCAAUGGAAGCUCCUUUAAGAUGAAUGUUGGAUGCUUCAAUAAACAGUUUUUGGUUUAAGAUAA